UACGAAGGGUGCAACCGUUGCUCGGAAUUAUUGGGCGUAAAGCGCGUGUAGGCGGUCUGUUAUGUCGGGUGUGAAAGCCCUCAGCUUAACUGAGGAAGUGCGCCCGAAACUGGCAGACUUGAGUGCUGGAGAGGAGAGCGGAACACCCGGUGUAGAGGUGAAAUUCGUAGAUAUCGGGUAGAACACCAGUGGCGAAGGCGGCUCUCUGGACAGACACUGACGCUGAGACGCGAAAGCGUGGGGAGCAAACAGG
rnacentral:rRNA from 1 species